GAGGGUAUGGCUCAUUGGUAGAGCAUUUGCCUAGCAUGCACAAGGCCCUGGGUUUGAUUCCCAGGACUCUCC
rnacentral:tRNA from 1 species